GAUCGUGACCUGAGCUGAAGUCGGACGCUUAACCGACUGAGCCACCCAGGCGCCCCAAGGGUUCUGUUUUUUUAAAAAUACACUUUCAGCAAAUCAUACAGAGCUCUUAAUAAAUAAACAACAGAAUUGAAACGUUCGGCAGAAGGGUUGGAAUAUGAAAUUGAGGAAAUCGCCUGGAAAAUCAGAGAGAGAGGUGGGAAGCGGGAGAGGAGAGAAGCCGAGGAGCCUUCCAGAAAGACCCGCAUGCAGCUGAAAAGGAGUGAGGGCGGUGGCGGAAAGGCCGGGCCUGCGGCGCAGUGCUCGCGGGAAGGGCAGUUAGCGGUGAAACCUCACAGCGUCAUUAAGCAAAGGUGAAAGCUGAUCAUCUGAAUUUGCGUCACCCGAAUUAACUCUUAAAAACCUGAAGACGGCAAAGAGAAUUCUAGAGUUGUCCCAGAAAUUCCCGAAAUGAAGAGCGUAAGGGUGGGCAGUCCCCAGCGAUUAGGAAAGGAGCUCUCCCCGGCGGUGAGGUUGAAAGCGUAGAAGCCACUUGUGCGCACAGAGCAGGCUGCACCCUGACGCCAGUGCCGCGGGAGAGCAGGGCUGGGACUGGGGCAGGCGGAGUGAUGGGCCCGUCCGACUGUGGCGCAGGUGGAGAGCUCCUGAAUGCGGGGUAGGUAAAGCCAGCAGCAUCGGAAAGACCAACCUUCGCGACCGUGAUGCCUCCCAGGCUUCCACCCUCCAGGAGACCAGGGACUUUGUGUCCUCACAGCCCUGCGCCCAGUGCCUAGGAUGGUGUGGGGGGAGGGGGGCGGCAGAGUAGGUGCAAGACGACUACGUGUUGAGUAAACACAGUUGCGUGUGUACAAAAAAUACCGUACCCCAAGGACAAAGGAAUCUAGAAACCCGUUUGGUAAAAUGGUCUACGUUGACCGAGAAGGAAGACCGUGGGAUUACUUCAGUAGAUACUGAAAAACAAAUUCCAGUACCUUUUCUUUAAAACAAAACAAAUAUGACAAUUAAAAACAAUUUUGUAAAAUUGGAGUGUAAUGAGUACGCGGGGAAAAGCUGCUGAUUCUUAGUAAGGUAGGGAGAGGUGGAUAGGCCUACAACCCGCUAAAGCACGGCUAUCAAGAGCCCUGAGUGGUCUUCACCAGAAGUGUUUCUCACAGGCGCGGGCAGCAGGCAGGAACGCAGGGCAUCACCAUGACGAUGGGCACACCGGGAGCCCGGCCCGUAUGGAAGUCAGGCAAAUGAAAGCCAUAAAUACCUGAAAAGAAAAGAUGAAACGGUCACUCUUUGCAGCUAACCCAUUGUCUAUCUAGGAAAUCCGUGCAAGCCCCUUAAGAGAAAAGGCCACUAGUAAAAGAGGAAGCUUGGAUACAUGAUCUCCGUCGAAAACUUAAUGGUUUUUCCGCAUACUAAAGAUAACCAACCAGAAAAUGUAAGCGGGAAAAAGGAGGCAUUCCCUUUAACGACAGAAACUGCAAAGUCCCUGGGAAUGAGUCCGUUCUUGGGAUGAAUCCCGUGGCACGAGACUGAGUAGCACAGAGGAUACCUCACGGGAAGCUUCACCACCUUAUUUGAUGGGAAGAGUUAAUGUUUUGAACCUGCCACGUUCCCCCAAAGUAACUAACCCAGUGCAAUACUAUUAAAAAAAAAACAAAAAGCUUCCCAUGAAUCUUGAAAAUUUUACCCUAAAUGUACCUAUGUUUCCACUCAUGUCUUAGUUACCUGUUGCUGUGUAACAAGCGUCCCUAAGACUUAGCAGCUUAAAACAACAAUAAACAUGUUUGUCCCAGUUUCUAUAGGUCAGGGACUUGGGAACUGCUUGGCUGGGUGGCUUUGGCUCUGGUUACAGGCAAGACGUCAGAGCCAUAGUCAUCUGAAAGUUGAAUAAGCCUGGAGAAUCCACUUCCACAGUGGCUCAUUCGCAUGGCUGGUGAGUCAGUGCUGGCCGUGGGCAGGAGGUCUCAGCUCCUCACCAUGUGCCCUCUUCCUGGGGCUGCUCGAGUCCUCGUGUCCCGAGGCUGGCUUCCCCCAGAGUGGAUGGUUCAGGAGAGAACAAGGAGGAAGCUUCAGCGUCUUAGGACUGCCUUGGACUCACACUCCAUCGUGUCUACAACUUCCUAUUGGAUACAAGGUCACCGCUACGUAACGUGGCAGGGAGGACACGGGGCCUGAGCACCAGGGGCACAAAUCUCUGGAUGCCACCAUGGAGGCUGGCUAACACGGGCCGUCUAACGUAGUCACGUGCCCAGCAAACCAAGAGCAGGAGGAAUGAGGGGAGUCUAUACCAAGAGCCGCCAUAGUGCGGCUGCAGGGCACCAGGGGCAAAGAUAAGAUGUCAGGAACGAUCAAAGAGGAGACAGAGUCUGGAAGGGAGUGACAGCCUGGCAUUAACAAUAUAGAAGCUUGACUCGGCGGAGCACAUAACCGUCAAUCUGGAAUUUCGUGCCCAGCAAAAGCAAUCUUUUAAGAAGAGGGGAAAAUAAAUAAAUAAAAGGGUAGGCAAAAUAGGAGAAAACAAAUUUGCCCCAGCAGGACCUCACCCCGGUUGCGAAGAACAGAGCUCACAGAGCGGGAAGGUGAUCUCAGACGGGAGGGGGUGCCAAGAAGCAAGAGACUCGGGGUGGGCGGAUGUGCGCCCAUGACGGCGCGAAUGUCAGGGCGGCAUCUGCAAGUGGCGCUGUGUAUUCGGAAGUCCCCGCGGUGUCCCCCCGAUGGGCCCAUCCGUGAGCUUAGGGUUCGGUGAGUUUGCAUGUGGGCGGUGAGUACACCGAGGGAGGGACAAGACAAAGCACAGGGUCCGGCAGCAGGUGUAAUCGCCGAUGUCGGUCCGGUCGAUGGACGCACGGAGACCAGAUGCCCCACUCACAAGGCAGCCGUUGUCAGAUGGAUUAAAAACAACCCGGUCCCUCGAUGUGCGCAUGAAUGUGCAUGGAGAGAAACGUGGGAACGUUCCAACCAAGUGGGACGGGGACCUCCCACGCACAGUCUCCCAUCUGUUCGCGGCCUGCUUUGGUGCCAAACUGCCUUUCGGCCUGGAGUUAGAGCGGGUGGGUGCCUCUCCACGUGGCAGCAGGGUGACCCGGCAGACAUGCUCGUGAGUGAAGGAAGCAAGUGGUGCCGUAUGUGUGCAGCGUGGCUUCCUUUAUUCAGGGUUCAGAAAUAUGCGUACAUCACUGCAUAGUAAAGAUACUAUUUGAAAAAAUAAAGAUGUUUUUCUGCAAAUUUACUUGGAAAAGAAACCAGACAUGAAUUUUGAAACAGAAGAGCAGGCACCGCUUGUCUGCUCUAAGCUCCAGCAAUUAAAAUUGUACGCGUUGGGACAGACAGACCGCGCAAGUGGUCCACCAUCCAGUGCCAAUAGUCUGGAAACGGGCCCCUGUGUAAGUCUGGGGAUUUGAUCUGUGCUUCGCACGGAUUGCAGAGCAGUGAGGAAACAGACUUUCCCACGAAUGGUGUCGGGGUAACUGGCUGCCCAUUGAGGAGAUCAUAAGGUAGACUCCUCACGUGUCCUCAAACGCACACCAAGUGUUGGGACCAAACCACGGAUGUGCCAGGAGGGUGUGUGACAGCAUUGUCAGAAUCUCACGGAGGGGCGCCUGGGUGGCUCAGUCGGUUGGGUAUCUGACUUUAGAUCAGGUCGUGAUCUUAAGGAUCACGUGAGUUCGAGCCUCACGUCGGGCUCUGCACUGACAGCUCAGAGCCUGGAGCCUGCUUCGGAUUCUGUGUUCCCUCUUUCCCUGCCCCUCCCCAGCUCUCUCUCUCUUCUCUCUCUCCCUCUCUGUCUCAAAAGUAAAUAAACAUUAAAAAUUAAAAAAAAAAAGAACCUCUCAGUGGAAAAUUCCUCCCUGGGGCCACGCACAGAACCCACGAGGGGAAAUGCUGACAAAUCUGACUGCAGUUUUUCAAGGCUUCAAAGACACACAUUCUAAGACGUCUGGAAGGAUUGCCUGUGGCACGUGUGACAUUCCCAACCAGAGUCCACAGAGAGGCGCUUCGCAGCAGCAGGAGAGCCGUGUCCAGAACUGGGUAGGAGAGCGUCUGAAGUACGUGGACUUACAGUUCGUGGCAGGAGGAGAUGGGCCGACAUGACGGGGACCGUGCCUGGGGCCGGGGGGACUCAAGUCGCUCUGUCCUGCUGGGUUUUCAGAAAGCCAGCUGGUGAUAAUUGUCCCCUGUGGACUUAUUCAUUAAUCUUUGCUCCUUCUGCCUUUCACUUGCAGUGAAUUUCUUUUGUCGUUCUUUUCCUAGCUUCUUGAAUUUCCUGCUUUGCAAUCUGGUCUGUGGCUUUUUUUCUGACUUUCCAGCAUUUGAAACUUCAUCUUCACAGGACAGGAGUGCACCCUGGAUCCUCGCUCGUUUCUAAGAUCGGGGAUCCUGUCCUCACUAUGCACACUCCUUGGGGACCCCAGCCACAUCCAGAAGCUGCUGUGCCUGUGCUAAUGAAGCUCACUCCUCCUCAGAGCCCCAGGCAUGUGGACAACUGCCCGUGGCCGCUCCGGAGUCCCACAGGCCGCGCUUGGGGGAAGUCCGGAGGCCAGCUCUGUCCCCAGGGGAGGCUGCUCAUCUGGGGCGCCCCGCCAGCCCCUCCUCUGCAGGACCCCUGUUCCUGGGCCCUCAGACUCCCCACUCACUGGUUUGCUCCCUUGUUUCGGUGGACUGCCUCAUCUAACAGCUGCCCAGAAGCGUCCAGAAGAUGUUUGAGUCCUCGACUAUGAAGUUGUUAAACUGUCUUUA